CUGCGGCGGGUGUGAGUGUGUGUGAGUGUGUGUGAGUGUGUGUGGGGUGUGCGCGCGUGGCGGCCGACACCCGCAGGCCCGGGCUCAGG
rnacentral:miRNA from 1 species